UAGGGAAUCUUCGGCAAUGGACGGAAGUCUGACAGCAACGCCGCGUGAGUGAAGAAGGUUUUCGGAUCGUAAAGCUCUGUUGUUAGAGAAGAACGUUGGUAGGAGUGGAAAAUCUACCAAGUGACGGUAACUAACCAGAAAGGGACGGCUAACUACGUGCCAGCAGCCGCGGUAAUACGUAGGUCCCGAGCGUUGUCCGGAUUUAUUGGGCGUAAAGCGAGCGCAGGCGGUUCUUUAAGUCUGAAGUUAAAGGCAGUGGCUUAACCAUUGUACGCUUUGGAAACUGGAGGACUUGAGUGCAGAAGAGGAGAGUGGAAUUCCAUGUGUAGCGGUGAAAUGCGUAGAUAUAUGGAGGAACACCGGUGGCGAAAGCGGCUCUCUGGUCUAUAACUGACGCUGAGGCUCGAAAGCGUGGGGAGCAAACAGG
rnacentral:rRNA from 1 species